rnacentral:sRNA from 1 species
AAAGCCAUGUGUGAGGACACCGAUAUUCAGACAACUUCCUGGUAGGAGCUUAGGGCUACGAGUCUAUGGCAUUGAUAGGACUUUAGCUCGUUACAGCUGUCAAAUCAAAGAGAAAACAAGAGUCACCGGAGGCCUGUGCUCGUGGAUUAUCCCCUGCCUGAAAUCGGUAUUCUGUAGGACUGGAAAGCCGGCGGGGAGAACACAGACUGGAUGCAGAUUCAAAAGCCCAAUUGUAGGAGGAAAAGAACCCAAAACACCAAAGCUGUGUUUUUUUCAAGACAGCCACUCCGAACCAGUAAGGAGCCAUCUUGGUUGUGCAGUUAAUGGCGGUCUUGAUGUGUUCAACUCACCUGGAGUUUUGUAACGCACAUCUGUUGGAACCUAAUUCUUCAGGAUUUCAGUUUAUAGAGAAGAUCAGCUGAAGCAACUAGCCUCGUGGGACUGAGCGAAUACUAGAACUUUGGACUUCCCAUUAACAACUACCCACUGUUAGGUGAGUUGGACUACAGGCUGUUAAGUCAUUACAAUAAAUCCCCUUAAUAUAUAGAGACAUCCCAUAAUUUCUGUGACACUAGAGAACCCUAAUACAUAUGUAUAUAUUGCUGGGGAGCAAACCAAGAACCAUGUGCAUACCAGACGAAGCACUCUACCAACUGAACUCUAUCCCCAGCCUAACACCAUUUUUUUUGUUGUUGUUGUUGAGGGAGGGAGGGAGUGGUGAAGAUUGAACCAGGGCUUUGAAUAUUCCAGACAAGCAUCCUACUACUAAUCUAUUUCCUGGACUUUCUUGAUUUCAUGUUUUCCCCAUAACAUUUAUUUGUUUGUUAAUCUGUUUCUGUGUGUAGAGGUCAGGAGAUAUCUUGUGGGAGCUGGUUCUCUUCUUUAUCCAUGGGCACCCUGGAUGGAACUCAGAUGUCAGGCUUGGCAAAGAGCAUCUUUACCCACGGAGCCAUGGUGCUGGCUCACUGCUUGAUUUCUUUUUCAUGUAAGUCAAUGUCUGUGUGCUGAAAUAUUUGAUUUCUAUGUUGCAUUUCUUUCUUGCUCUAAUAGAGUUAUUUUAGAGGGAUUAUGGAAUGAUUAUGGUUUUCUAUAUACAAGAUCAUUGACAACCUCACCUCUUCCUUUUCUAUUUGGAGGCCUCUGUGUCUUUGCCAAAUCACCCUGUCAAGGACUUCUAGCACUUACUUCCUUGAACAGAAGAGGUUGGUAGAGAAGAAAUGUCUCGUCUUGUUCCUGACCCUAGAAUGAAGCCUUCCAGCUUUUACCCCCGAGUUCCAUGUCAGCUGUGUGUUUGUCAAACGUGGCCUUUAUCAUAAUGGGGUGCAUUCUUUCUAUGUCUUAUUUUGUGUGAGCUUUAUGACUUUACAAAUAAAAUGGUUCCCCCCAGAAAAACAGAUUAAAGCUGGCCACGGUGGCUCAUGCCUAUAACCUUAGCACUCAAGAGGCUGAGGCAGAAGGAUCAGUGUGUGUUUGAGGUUAAUCUUGCCUAUACAGUGUGUUCCAGUCCACCCAGGGCUACAGAGUAGGAGGCUUUGUCACAACCUUUCCCCAAAGCUGUAGAGCUGUUGCUGCUGCUGCUGCUGCUGCUG